rnacentral:lncRNA from 8 species
GUAUUUGUACUUAGUUAACCUGCUCAGAUGACAUGAGUACGUCUUAGAAAUCCAGAAAUGCAAUAUCCAGUAUUACAGUGGAUCUAAUAGCACUGGAUUACAUUGUUUUUCUUAAUACAAUCUGUUGAAUACUAACAUGCUUUUGACCCAGUGAGGGUAUUGUCCUUUCUCAGCCACACAACGAGCAUUGUAGUCCAUUCUCCUGGGAUAGGAGACAUUUUGUUUUCGUGCUCUUUUCACACCAGCACUCCCUUUUCCCACAGAAACCCUCUCCUUUCUUCCGUUCCAAGGCAGCCCUUUUCAAACCGGGAAGCUCCAGGUCAGUUUCCCUUUCCAAGUUUUACGGCCUGCCAUGUUGUCUAUUCUGCUCAGCUAUUUAAAAAAUGUUGAAUAUCAACAAUGGCUUUCACUGGUGUAUUGUCAACUUUUGUAUGAAGCAAUCUUGGCUGAAUGAGAUGGGUCCCAGAGCAGGGAGGGCUUGGCUGCGGCAUGCACCGCAACACCACUGGCGCCUGCCUGGCUCUCUCUCUCUCUCUCUCUCUCUCUCUGCUGCAGGCAGGAUCAGGGAGGCAGGAGCAGCCGUCCCUCUAGUCCCUGUCUCAGCCCAGCCGUUGGGGUCUGCAUGGGGCUGGGAAAGCCACCCCCUCGUCAGUCCACUCCGCGAACCCAUCCUCAUCCUCCCCCUGCCUCUGGCCCUGUCGUCUGGGAGCCCCCGAAGGUGUGACACCUCACACAGGGAUCGGAGAGCAGGAGCCCCGGGGGUCAGUCAGAGCUGGACAAGGUGACCACCAGCAGCACCCUCCUCUGAGGCCAGCCCAUCCAUUAUCCUGUCAACAUGCCCACUUCCACACCUUACUUUGGGCUCCGCACAGAACAAUGGCUGUAAUGAAAUCAUCAGUAAUCCCCCAAAAUCAUCUCGUCACGCUCAAGGUAAUUAAUGUAUUUGGAGGGCGAUGGCUAACUCUUAAUUAAAUUGUGCCCUUUUUUAAUGAGACCAUGACUGAGACAAAAUGUAUGGUCACUAUCUCCAUUAUCAAAUGCUUGGCGUGCAACAGAGAUUUGUCAUAUUCACC